AACGAACGCUGGCGGCAUGCCUAACACAUGCAAGUCGAACGAGAUCUUCGGGUCUAGUGGCGCACGGGUGCGUAACGCGUGGGAAUCUGCCCUUUGGUUCGGAAUAACAGUUGGAAACGACUGCUAAUACCGGAUGAUGACGGAAGUCCAAAGAUUUAUCGCCAGAGGAUGAGCCCGCGUAGGAUUAGCUAGUUGGUGUGGUAAAGGCGCACCAAGGCGACGAUCCUUAGCUGGUCUGAGAGGAUGAUCAGCCACACUGGGACUGAGACAUGGCCCAGACUCCUAGGGGAGGCAGCAGUGGGGAAUAUUGGACAAUGGGCGAAAGCCUGAUCCAACAAUGCCGCGUGAGUGAUGAAGGCCUUAGGGUUGUAAAGCUCUUUUACCCGGGAUGAUAAUGACAGUACCGGGAGAAUAAGCUCCGGCUAACUCCGUGCCAGCCGCCGCCGUAA
rnacentral:rRNA from 1 species